rnacentral:rRNA from 1 species
GACGAACACUGGCGGCGUGCCUAAUACAUGCAAGUAGAACGCACAGUUUAUACCGUAGCUUGCUACACCAUAGACUGUGAGUUGCGAACGGGUGAGUAACGCGUAGGUAACCUGCCUGGUAGCGGGGGAUAACUAUUGGAAACGAUAGCUAAUACCGCAUAAUAUUAAUUAUUGCAUGAUAAUUAAUUGAAAGGUGCAAUUGCACCACUACCAGAUGGACCUGCGUUGUAUUAGCUAGUAGGUGAGGUAACGGCUCACCUAGGCGACGAUACAUAGCCGACCUGAGAGGGUGAUCGGCCACACUGGGACUGAGACACGGCCCAGACUCCUACGGGAGGCAGCAGUAGGGAAUCUUCGGCAAUGGACGAAAGUCUGACCGAGCAACGCCGCGUGAGUGAAGAAGGUUUUCGGAUCGUAAAGCUCUGUUGUAAGAGAAGAACGGGUGUGAGAGUGGAAAGUUCACACUGUGACGGUAUCUUACCAGAAAGGGACGGCUAACUACGUG